rnacentral:lncRNA from 1 species
CGAAACCUUUCGGGAUUUAUAGAUGGGGGGACUUGGAGAAUUCUGGAGUUUGUAGCAGACCAAGUGUCUGGGUUGGAGUUUGCAAUCCCAAGGAAGUGUCCAUCCCCAGGGAAAUUUCCAUCACUACAAAGGAAUCAAGGAAGCAGUCAGUCCCUGGUAAGUAAGAUGCUCUCCCUACACACCAACACACAGUCAGGCACCUUAUAACAGAGUGCAACACAUCUCUACUAGCUCUUCCUGGGUACCAUGGACA